rnacentral:rRNA from 1 species
GACGAACGCUGGCGGCGUGCUUAACACAUGCAAGUCGAACGGAAAGGCCCUGCUUUUGUGGGGUGCUCGAGUGGCGAACGGGUGAGUAACACGUGAGUAACCUGCCCUUGACUUUGGGAUAACUUCAGGAAACUGGGGCUAAUACCGGAUAGGAGCUCCUGCUGCAUGGUGGGGGUUGGAAAGUUUCGGCGGUUGGGGAUGGACUCGCGGCUUAUCAGCUUGUUGGUGGGGUAGUGGCUUACCAAGGCUUUGACGGGUAGCCGGCCUGAGAGGGUGACCGGCGACAUUGGGACUGAGAUACGGCCCAGACGCCUACGGGAGGCAGCAGGGGGGAAUAUUGCACAGUGGGCGGAAGCCUGAGGCAGCAACGCCGCGUGCGGGAUGACGGCCUUCGGGUUGUAAACCGCUUUCGCCUGUGACGAAGCGUGAGUGACGGUAAUGGGUAAAGAAGCACCGGCUAACUACAUG